GAUGAACGCUGGCGGCGUGCUUAACACAUGCAAGUCGAACGAUGAAGCCCAGCUUGCUGGGUGGAUUAGUGGAGAACGGGUGAGUAACACGUGAGUAACCUGCCCUUAACUCUGGGAUAAGCCUGGGAAACUGGGUCUAAUACCGGAUAGGAGCGUCCACCGCAUGGUGGGUGUUGGAAAGAUUUAUCGGUUUUGGAUGGACUCGCGGCCUAUCAGCUUGUUGGUGAGGUAAUGGCUCACCAAGGCGACGACGGGUAGCCGGCCUGAGAGGGUGACCGGCCACACUGGGACUGAGACACGGCCCAGACUCCUACGGGAGGCAGCAGUGGGGAAUAUUGCACAAUGGGCGAAAGCCUGAUGCAGCGACGCCGCGUGAGGGAUGACGGCCUUCGGGUUGUAAACCUCUUUCAGUAGGGAAGAAGCGAAAGUGACGGUACCUGCAGAAGAAGCACCGGCUAACUACGUG
rnacentral:rRNA from 1 species